rnacentral:rRNA from 1 species
CACGUAGGGCGCAAGCGUUGUCCGGAAUUAUUGGGCGUAAAGAGCUCGUAGGCGGUCUGUUGCGUCCGCUGUGAAAACUCGGGCUUAACCCCGAGCCUGCAGUGGAUACGGGCAGACUAGAGGUAGGUAGGGGAGAAUGGAAUUCCUGGUGUAGCGGUGAAAUGCGCAGAUAUCAGGAGGAACACCGGUGGCGAAGGCGGAUCUCUGGGCCAUUACUGACGCUGAGGAGCGAAAGCCAGGGAGCAAACGGG